rnacentral:rRNA from 1 species
GACGAACGCUGGCGGCGUGCUUAACACAUGCAAGUCGAGCGGGGUGCAUUGGUUAGCUUGCUAACUGAUGUUACCUAGCGGCGGACGGGUGAGUAACGCGUGAGCAACCUACCUAUUAGAGGGGGAUAACACACCGAAAGGUGUGCUAAUACCGCAUGAGGCAGUUGAAUCGCAUGAUAAGGCUGUUAAAGGAGAAAUCCGCUAAUAGAUGGGCUCGCGUCUGAUUAGCUAGUUGGUAAGGUAACGGCUUACCAAGGCGACGAUCAGUAGCCGAACUGAGAGGUUGGUCGGCCACAUUGGGACUGAGACACGGCCCAGACUCCUACGGGAGGCAGCAGUGGGGAAUAUUGCGCAAUGGGGGAAACCCUGACGCAGCAACGCCGCGUGAAGGAAGAAGGUCUUCGGAUCGUAAACUUUUGUCUUUCAGGGAAGAAGGAAGUGACGGUACCUGAGGAGGAAGCCACGGCUAACUACGUGCCAGCAGCCGCGGUAAAAUAGCGUA